GACAGAGGCCUCGAGCGUUAGGCGGAAUCACUGGGCUUAAAGCGUGUGUAGGCGGAUCGUUAAGUACCUUGUGAAAUCCCACGGCUCAACCGUGGAACGGCUGGGUAUACUGGCGGUCUUGGGCCAUUCAUGGGCGACUGGAACAAGCGGUGGAGCGGUGAAAUGCGUAGAUAUCGCUUGGAACGCCGAAGGUGAAAACAGGUCGCUGGGGAUGUGCCGACGCUGAGACACGAAAGCCAGGGGAGCAAACGGG
rnacentral:rRNA from 1 species